CUGAUGAGGAUGGUGGAAAGAAUGAAGAGGGCUUUGUAGAAUUGAAGCCUGAGGUUGUGAACUUUCGUAGUUUACAUAAGAGAGAGGAGGAAUUGUAUUUCUACGAUACAUUUGCUUAUCCAUGGGAAAAAGAUAAACAUUACAAGAUGGUUUAUCAGUUGGAGAAGAAGUAUUUCCCUGACCAAUGCUUCGAUAAGGCAUUCAUUGAUCCUAAAGAUUCUAAUAUGAAUUCAAAUGGGAUAGCAAAGAGUAGUAGGAGUGGUAAGAGGGCAGAGAAGAGAGAUAAUGGAGUUGUAGACCAACAAGAUGAUAGAGGGUUGGUGUUCUUUGAAGAGAAGGGUGAGAUAGAGACAAAUUCAGCCAAGGACUCAAAUAA
rnacentral:misc_RNA from 1 species